GCUGGGUGUAGUGGCGGGCACCUGUAAUCCCAGCUACUUGGGAGGCUGAGGUAGGAGAAUUGCUUGAACCCAGGAGACAGAGGUUGCAGUGAGCCGAGAUCAUGCCACUGCACUCUAACCUGGGCGACAGAGUGAGACUCCAUCUCAA
ensembl:misc_RNA Metazoa_SRP Metazoan signal recognition particle RNA